AUUUUCUUUUAUAGACAUGAAACAAGACUGGUAGUUAGAAAGCACUGCCCUCCUGUAUACAUCCUAUUAGGUCCUAUUAGAAUUAUGAGUCCUGGAGUUAACUGCUUUUAUUUCUUUCCAAGACUUACAGAACCUUUUUGCACUGUAUUUAUAUAUUUAGUACACCUUAUACUGGUGCCAUUUAAAAACAAAAAGAAAAUUAGAAUCCCAUCUCCAAAUAAAUACUAUAAACUGUUGGAACCAAAAUGCUUUGUAAUGAAAUGGCAUAAUUCAGAGACAUUAGAAUUUGUCCUUAAUUUUUUUAAGCUUAAUUUUCUUUUCCACAAAUAUGAUAUUCUACUGUAUUGUCAACACACACACACACAAACUGGCCACACUUACAACAGUGAUUUAAUUUUAGUAGGUCCAGUCUAACAAACAAACUUAUCAAUUGGCCAAAUCAGGAUUCUUGGGUUUUACACAUUGUAGGUACUUCAGAAUUAUUCUUGGACUUGUACAACAACAGAGCCCCUAAAUCAGCAUGUAAUAAUACUUACAGUAUUAAGUAUACACUAUUGGUAAAUAUCACUAAUCUUCCUUCUUUCCCAAUGAGUCUCAAUUACACCCACCAUUCCAAAGAGAUCUGAGCAAAUGCACGUGAUGCCAACAGACAUGUUUCUGAACAUGGACACUUGCAUUCUGACACGAUGGUGUCACCCGAGGAACUUUUCACUUCCUGCUGUCAUCUCCACAGACCUUCCUGUGUAUUCAAACAGCUGUAUGAGGUUGCAAAGAUUGUUUUUAAGAAAAAGAAAACUGGUCCUGGUAGAGAGUGUGAGUUCGUUCCCAGUGUCACCCAAACACAGGCAUUGCUUUUACUGGGUAAUACAAAUGAAAAUGGCUAACGUGGCAUAAACUGUAUACUAGGCUUUAGUCAGAGUGUCUAAAGCUAUCACAGUAGGCAUCCAUCUGCAGUCCCUGUUUAUGGGAAUAAAAUAUGUAGUCAUUUGAAGUUCACAAUAUGUAUACUGUGUUUGUAAUAACUGCAGAUUUUACAAGCACAUUAUUCUUUCCAUUAGGAUUAAAACCUCACCAAAUAGCAAUUUGUGAAAGAAUUCUAGCAGGGCCCAGAGCCCAGAACUCUGACCUCUGAUGAGAUACUUGGCAGCAACAAACUCUAGGUCUAGGCAAAACAUCUGGUUUGAGUUAGACUUCCUGAAAAAAUAGCCCCUGUACUGGGGAAACUGGUAUUCGCUCAGCUUUGUAUAUAUUCUUUGACUGACUUCAACAUUGCUACAGGGGGGGAAAGAGGAAGAAAAAGAAAAGACUCCACUAGAUGCUUGUCAAUCAUGACCAAACUCCUUGGUGGCCCCACCAGAGUUAAGCACCCUUACUAGAGAGAAUAAUCUACUUCAUUUCAUAUUACUCAUUAUUUUCUGUAUUACAGCACACAGAGCCUACAAUGGCGUUAAAGUAAACUCAAUGUCAUUAUUAGCAAGCAGUGCAUUUCUGUAGUUACCACAGAAGAUGAAUCCACGCACAGAUUCACCUUUAGUCUGCUGACACGAGCAGAGGGUGAAAGGCGACACCAUCACACUUGAGAGCUCUGUAGAGUUCACAAGGAUCCAAGUUUUUAGUUUUAUUUUUAAAAUAGUUUCUUAACUAGUGUUCUUUUAUCCUAAAAUUUACAAACUCAAUGUGAGUGGUAAAGUUUGCGAAGAAAUUCUACUUUGAAAUUUUGAUUUGUGAGAAAAAAAAAAAUCAGAACUCAAAACUUGCUCUUCUAAUAUAGAUGGAGGAAAAAAAGUUCUGGUUUAACGCAGAGACGGCAGAAUCUAAGGGUUAUGGUCCUCUCUUCUGCUACGCAGCUUUAGGGGAGCAAAUGUGGCAUCUCACCCAUGCAAUGAACAAAUCUCUAGUUUGCUUCAGAGUCAUCAGAGGGCAGUUUUUAAACUGCCCCCCUUCUUACACAAAUAUGCAGUUUCUUGGAGAUGUUUUAAUACAUUGGAUGGAAGAUGAUACCAAGCGCAAAUGAUGUUGCACAGACAGCAAAGCAUAUCUAGAUGAGCUGGGUCUACACCACAGGUCGGUGGGUUGCCUUGGCAAGCAAAAAAAGCUGGGCAUUUCAGUGCAGUCCUGUCUGCGUUGUUUGUGGUUUGAUUUCAGCAUCUUAGUAAAAGUCGACGUAUCACAGGAUUUACUCCAUUGUAUCUGCAUAGAAUCCAGGUUAUACAGGAUACCAUGGGAGCAUGACUCCCAUGAUGCAGGACUAGAGAGUCUCUUAAUCUUAGUGCUGGCAAACUGCCAUUUUAUUGUCCUAUCUAUCGCCUUAAUUUAAUUAUUAUUUUUGAGAGAAGUAAAAAUAUAUUCAAAUUCAGUCUUUGAAAAAAAAAAACAGCAUGGCAUGAAAGCAAAUGAAUAGUUGUGCAGUUUCUUUAAGUAAAAAUUAACUUUUCCACUCCAUGUCAUUUGGAAGGAGUCCACUGAACAGUUACAAUUUAUACAACAUCAAUAUUCUUCUCUAACAAGUAUUAAGAGUCUGCAAAUCUCACUUUUACCAUACUUCAGGGAGCAAUUUAAGAGUGAGUAUAAUUAUUUACACUCUGCUUCUGGGCCGGAAAAAAAAAAAAAAAGGUAUAAUUGACCAAAGCCAAAUUCUGCACAAAGGCAUUUGCAUGACAGUCACUGGUCUGUUGAGUGUCACAAACAUUACAAGUACUAUUUGCCAAGUCACAAAAUUUGUGUCAUCUUAACAUUAUAUAAUUUUUUAAAACUAUGUUUCUACUACAAAGUCUUAGUUCUUCUAUUCUCACCUAAGAAUAAGUACGGAAAUUUCCUUUCUUGAAUGAAUAAUUUUUAAACAAACUUAUUUGCCAGCUUUAGGUAAACAUCUGUAGCUCAAAUUCAUCACCUCUUAUUUCCACACUCUCGAGACCUGUUUAUACACAUAAACCCCGUAUGUGCCUUAGUUCACGAUAAAACUAACAUGGUUCUAAAAUAUAACCAUUUCACCCAAAAAGCAAAGAGACCGACAAGUCAAACACCUCUCAUUUGAAUGUAACUUUCUGAGGUUAUCCUCAAAGUAAAAAUGCUUACUGAUACUUUCCCACUUCAAAAGAAGACAAAGCAAGCCUGUUCGGCUCAGUUGAGAAUAAAGGUGCUGUAGAAACAGUAUAAAAAGUGCACGAUGUACAGCUUCGAGUCUUCACUGCCUUCAAUGCCCACUUCAGUUCUAUGUGAAAGGUCCCUUAACAAUGUGACCAUGCAGCCAUGUGUACCUGGGUCACAGCACAAACGUGCCUAUGACUUGACACUACUCCUAUGUUACAGGAGUCUUCAUCUUGUCUGUGGAUGUAAAGAAGAAAGCCGUACUACUAAUUAGAAGACAGAAACCGAGUCACUGGGAUGAGGACGUCCUUGUUGCUUCCCUACAGAGAGAGUAGCAAGCAAACCAUCUCCCUGGACUCUCUGCACCUCCAGGGCACAGGGCAAAGAGCUGGACUGAACACCGACAGAAAGGAAAACCAACAGCAGUGAUUCUGGACUCUCACGCUAUUUCUAGGUUGGAAUUAAACAGUGGAUUUUCUUUCCAAAAGACAUAAAGAGCACAUCACUGCUACCACAUGACUCUCUAAAGCUACGGCCACAAAGGCACAUUUAUAAAAUAAGCUCCCACUUGUUGAAAAGUAACCCUGCCUGCAUCACCGGAGCUCACCUUAGUGACUUAAACAAAUAUAAACAGAGUUAUAAACACUGUAUGUUUUAUAGAGUUCCAUGAACCAGGAAAAAAGUCACCUUACUAAAUAACCUCUGGCAAAUGCAAAGGGAAGCUAAAUUUGGUUUGCUCGUGUUUUCUGAGUUCUCAGAAUGUACGCGGCAGUGUGUGCAACUUAAUCCCUUUAGCUGGAAGACGGUUACUCAGUUCAGUUUCCAUGCUGGCCUUUCUGGGAGAAGAGGGAAAGGAAUUAAACAGGAGGCUGAGAGGACCGGAGGAGCACAAUCAACAUGGGAACAACUUCCCGCGUGUUUACGAGGCACCGCCCAGGUUUUAAGAAGAGCUUGCAGUCUGUAGAUGGCUCAGUGGUUGAGUGCACUGGCUGCUCUUUCAGAGGACCAGGGUUUGAUUCCCAGCAACCACGAGGCGGCUCACAACUGCCUGUAACGCCUGUUCCAAGGGAUCUGAUACCCUCACACAGACAUACAAGCAGGCAAAACACCAAUGCAUAUAAAAUACAAGUAGAUAAAUUAUUUUAAAAAGAAGUACUUAAAAAAAAAAAAGAGUUUGCCAGAGAUCUUCCUACUCGGUGAAGCUGGAGGUAGAGAGAUCUUGAAAGCAACCUCUGUGAUAAACAGGUCUUCUAAAGUUGAGGCCAACAUGCUGAAGAAAAAUAUUAAACUACCUAGAACCCUGUGUCAACACAUGAUGCUACUGGGAAUGGUAAGUGAAUUAAUUUUCCAAGGAAAAUUAAUUACUUAUGACUUACAGUUGUAAAAGCAAACAACGUAACUCUGGAUUAGGGCACAUUCAAUUUCUGUUUGUAGUAGUGAUUAAAUUAAUUUCAUAUAAUUCAUGGUAUGUAAUGGAAAGCAGGGCAAAUUGAAAUUUUAGACAAUGACUGACAGAGAAAAUGUAUAUAUUUAUGAAUCUGAUUCAAAAAUAAAAGCCAUGGAUGUUAAUCAAAGCAUAACAACCCAGUAUUUCUUAAUGGUCUGAUAAUAAUGGAUUUUUUAGCACAGUUUUUGAGAAGGCAUUACCAAACAAUAUGGAAAAUGAAAUAAAAAGGUGUAAUAAUAUCCUGUGACUUCUCCCAGUGCCCUACUACUCCCCUACACAGGUCAUAAGAGUCAGGAUUUGCACAUUUUUUAUAUAUAACUGAUUGAUUUUUAUCCUCAUAAACUUGGAACAGCUGAAAUGAAAUACAGCAUUAAAUGAUUUGGGGAUGAAGUUCUCAAAACUACAACUAAAUUUUUUCCCCUGACACUCAAGCAGUAAAGUACUGUAACUGGCUCAUCUGUGACUCAUUUGCCUGAACUGCACCUGAGCGCUACUAAAGCAGCAGUCCAAGGGAGUCCUGCCAUCGGCACAGCUGCGGGCGGAGACCACCUCACACUCCCACCUCUCACUGCUGCAACCAUGGUGCUUAGUCUCUUGGUUUGGAUCCCAACACAGUGGUUUACAGCUAAGGUUUAAGAUAAGGACUAAAUGCCCAUGUUAAAUGUAAUUAAAACAGUUUAAGAUCGGCUAAAAGAUAUGACAUUUUUGUGGUGUAAUCAAAUCAGAAUGAGUCAGACUCUGAUGAUAAUGACCCCAAGUAUCAACCAUCAUUGAGGCCCGGUGGCAUCACUGAGGGCCUAGUGCCCGUUAACAACUGGGCUCAUUUGGCUAGACAAGAGGAAGGAUUUUGAUAGAUACUUUUAAAAUAGAGCAAAAUAUUUUUACAACUUAGACUUUUAGAAAAGACAUAUGAAAGAUACAGUAUAAGCAUAAUGAAAAUAUAUACUAUAAAAUAUUUAUUUCAAAAAUUGAUUCUCCACACAUUUUAAGCUAAUACAUUCCUUUUCCUGCUCAGUCUCUCACAAGGAAAGUUGCUAUUCACUGUCUCUUUUUAAAAUACAUUUUUAGACUGCGAAUACUUUUUAAUUUCUAUAAUACACCUUGAUGACCAGAGGGAGAAUACUAUGUCAAUUAUUUUUAACUGUUGAAAUUUCAAAUUUCAAAGCGAGCAACAAAGCAAUCAAAGACACACUUAGAAAAUAAAAGCAGAGUGGUCACACUGCAGUGACAGGGGUAUUUCCCAAGGCAGCCUCUGAGAAGCACGUCUAGUCUAGAGAAAACCUUUCUUUUAUUCUUCAGUAGGAUUAAGUGGAGCAGCAGCAGCUCACCUUUACCCGCUCUGCUUCCUAGAGCACAGAGCUUCCUCGUUUCUAAUGGCAGUGCAGAGUGAGGAGGAUUCACACAAAGGCCUGGGAACAUGGACAGCAAGAGGCACACUCAGGUCCUUUCCAGCUGGUAGAGCUACCCUGGAGGCUGAAGCAUCACUGCAGAAGCAGAACUUUGAUUUAGCUUCAUUUCCUGGCUUCAUCCCUGGCUUCAGCAUCAGUGGCGUGAACACCAACAGUGUUCUAGGGAAGAAUGUCAAGAGGCCAGCAGGCCAGCAACGAUGGCCUUUGGGAUCAGAACAAGCUUUUCUAGUGUCUGCACAUGUGUAGACUACAUUCGUGUAAGGAAGCCAAAAACAGAAUGCCUUUCAGUAACGGGUCCCCAAGAAGGUGAGCAUUGCACCAAGGGGGAAACAUGCAUGAAAAGCCACCGCUGCACGCCCUUCAGUUCAGAAUGUACCUCGGAAGUUUCUUCAGGCAUCUUUCUUUUAUUACAAUCCACAUGCAUAUUUCAGUAGGAUGACUACAGGAGAAUCACUAAUUUUAUCUAAACGAUGACGUUCGGCAAACAUUAUGAUACCGACUAUAAAUCUCCAACAAGUCUCCAACACAAAAGAGCUGGUAAUUCCAUGAUUAGAAACAGCUUGAUUGUGAGAGGAAAGGCAGCUGUCAACAAACAGCUGCUUUUUGUUGCCACCGCACAAUCAGAUCGUGAGGCCCAGAACCGCGGAGAUUGUUUCUGCUUUAUCUGCUGUGUUUGUCUUUAAGCGCUCUACUCUCUUCUAACCCCACCUCCAGAACAGUGAGUCAACUUAAACACGGGACAACCACAACAGAAGAAUCAGAUGCACACGUGAAUCAGAUAACAUGUGAAGCACUGUAGACUUGGAUAAUCACUAACAGAAGUCUCACAUGCAUGCUCUGAUUCGGCUCCAAACGCCUAACUCUCCUCUCCCCGUACAAGUGAGAGGCAGCACAGGCCUCAUUUCCUCAUUCCUGGACUACGGUCAUAGCGAGGCUGCCACUCUGAUUCUUUGUUCGUAAAUUUUGCCCACAGCUGCUUCUGUCCUCCUCCCUUUUGGCAGACAGGAACGAACAUGUUUAUGUGUGCCAGUAUGACCUGAGCAAGCUUGACAUUGAAUGAGUCUAUGAAUACCUGAUAAGCUUAACAUAUGAAUAAAUAUUUAGAGUAAAAUGGACUUUAACAACAACAACAAAAAGGCCAAAGAAUUCUAAAGUACACGGAAUUUAUUUAACGUCUCCUAAGCAACAAAAGCACAUUCAUGCCUUAACCUUGAGGCACGGUCAUGUCUAUUUUCUUUCUCUUUUUAACAGUCUUCUAGAAAGCAUGUGGGUAUCCUUAUUUCCCAACAAAGCAUGAACAAGUAAAAUGAUUUCACCAAGGGGAGGCGGUAAAGGUAAAGCCACGGUGCCCGAGGCUACAUUCUCUCCACUGAACCACACUGAAACCAUGAUGGUGCCCUGAGAAUGUUUACACAAUUUAAGUUUAAGAGAGACUCUGUCUAUGUCAGACUACUAGCCCUCAGGCAAACUGAUUAAACACACCCAGAAGUACAGCUAUUCAACUGCAAAGAUUGACAUAGGUCAAUGAACAUGGUUUUGUGCCCCGGAUACAAUACCUACCCAAGAAUCUCUUACAAGCUUAAUGAUAAAUAAAUUUCCCAUAAAGUGUUCUUCUUCCUGUAUCACUCUCAACUGUAAGGUGACAUUUACUUUAGGCUGUGCUCAGACAGCAGACUCAGGGGACUCCCUGUGUCAUGCUGCCAUUACUGGUCCUGGGUGCAGGUAAUGCUGCUAACCUUUGUACAGAUCCAUACAUUUGUACAUUGAGAAAUUCAAAAAGCUGCCUAAAUUUGUGUUAACUCUCAUCUUUGCAAAUUUUAUGCUACAAAUAAUGAUCGGCUCACUUGUCAAAGGAUGCCUGGAUAUAUUUCAAACCACAUAAAGGAUGGGUAAGGAGGCCUGGAAGGAGGGACUCGGGAACAAAUGCCUCAGGAGUUACUUGGAGCCAUCAGAAACCAGCGCAGAAGAGUGCUUUGCAAGGUACCCCAGGGCCGGCCCUUCUCCAGGACCCAGGCUUUGGCAGUGGCUGUGAUGAUCUGCACUGAGUUGUGGUACUGAGAGGAGUAAAACUAUUAGACUUUUAAAAACAACUCCCAAAAAUAAAUGUUAAAUCUCAGCCUUCUAAACUGUAGCAAAAACUGUUGAGAAGCCCACUUUUACUAGGUUACCUACUGCCCAAAAGUGUCUUCUCCAAAGCCUAUUGGUCCAAAAUGAUUUUCUUCUCCUAGCGAGAAGACAUGGGAGCUGGAGAGACCCAAUCAUUAUGGCUCAAAGUUUGGCUACUCCCCAACUUCUUAUGAGAUGAAGUUUCUGCUGCAGCUGUAGCUGAAGCAGGCUGACAUGUGCAGGCACACUGUUACAGGGCAGCCUGGCUGUGAUGCCUGGGCAGCACCCACCCCAGAUGCCAGCACCCUUGCCGUCCACACUCUCUGCUAGCCUUACGUUACAGAAACUGGUGCUGUCUCAGAUAGUAAAUGCCUCAUUAGCUUGUUAGUACAAUGCCUGGCUGAUUUCUAGCUUGGCUUUUUUUCUUUUUUCUUUUGGUCUAUAAAUGAGUGGUACCGGGCAAAUCUAGAAAAUGAAAAGAAAGAGUCUUUCAAAAAUCACCCUGGGAAGAUGACCUAUUUUCACUCACCUUCUAGUCAGGUUCACAUCACAGAUGAUGCUGGACAUGGCUCAGCUCCAAGGAAAACAACCUUCUUGGCCGGCCAUUCAGUGGCUGUUUAUGAGUAUACAACAGGAGCUUUAUAUGCACUGUGAGCUCGUUAGACUCCCAGCUCCUCUCCUACCUCACUGUCGUCCACACACCUCUGUGUGGUGUGGCGCUCACAGCUCCUCCCACAACCACCCUCCAGCCACAAAUAAACACCCGGGGGGUGGGGGGGAGCCUCUUGCAGGAGACUUUUCCAUAGUAGUAUUAGUGUGAGGACACGGAACAGGAGGAGGAGACCUCAGAUGCUGGACUUGCCCCUAACUCCAGUCUGAUUCUACACAGUUAUCUUUACGUAUUGAAGCCAUGAAGGUCUUCUGAGGGACCCCAGAGGUUUGGAAACUGUCACGAUAUGCUACUCGCUUUCCUAAUGGCCUCACACAUAGAUUCUCGGCCUACUUCCCCUUGAGGUCAUUGGCAAGGACUGUUCCGUUUUGACUCAGUAAGUGCCCACAAUAAAAUAAAGGAAAAUUUCAAGUUUAAAUUUAGACAAAAAUAUUAGAGGAAAAAAAGGAGAGAACUGUUUUGUAGAUAAACUUCAUGCUCUGGUGUUGAAAGUUAAGGUCCACAAAUCAAACAGCAGCGGAGCAACUCCGCAGAGCUGGGGUUUUCUAUGCCACUCUCAGUGAAUCAUGCUGCGGUUAGUUGAAAGUGCUGUUCACAUAAUAAAUUAACCACCUCAUUUCCUUCAUCACCGAGACAUACAUAGCACCCCAUACAGAUUUGUUUUAAUAAAGGUAAUAAAGCAAGCCCAGAGGUUAUGCUGCUAUGACAUAAUCACACCUCUGAGACUUAGAAACACUCACGUGUACAUCAUGUCUCAGAAAGUCGUUGCCCCUCCAACAAAAUCUGACUGUACUCAUACUCUGGGCCCAUCCACUCCAAAUAAAUAAUGAAACCUGGGCACAUCAGAAGAGACUUCUCUUUCAAUUACACAUUUGAAAGCAUACACUUGUAAAAGUAAAACUGUACAACAAACAACUUAGAUACCUGAUCUUAUUUAAAAAAAAAUCUUAUCCUGGUACCCUAAGAUGUCAACCAAGUAGCAGUCUCACCCCCAAAUAAAGAUGUUUUCUAAAAUCAGUUGUUCAAAAUGUCAGGCAACAGGUGCUUCUCCUCCUAUGGACUCAGAGACCACUCUGUACAAUUCCUAGCAAAUGAACUUUUUUGCUAGGUAAUGGUAUUAAAUGCUGAGGACAGUAGAGAGGAAAAGAAAACUUUCAUAAACUUGGACAGUCUUCUGGUCUUGAUUUAAUUUUUUUCUUCUCAUUUGGAUUCUGGUAUUCUAGGAGUACCAGAAAGAUACUGCAAAGCAACUGUCCACAGCAAGAGACAGAUUUGGUAGUGUUGCCUGCUCCUGUGAGGAUGCGCUCACACUGCAACUCAGCAUGGCUAGCUCUCCUGUACCACAUUUCAUUAGAGUCGCUUUGCAGACACAGGGUUCGUGGCUCAGCAGCCCCUCUGCCCAAGUCCUUCCCCCAGGAGCAUGGAUCACCGUGAGCCGCCACUGUGCUACUGAUAGUUCCUUUCCAUGGAUGUAAAACGGAAUUUCAUGAGCACUCUAAUUACCAGGGUUCUUCUAAAGACGAUGACCAAUGAAUGGCACUCUACUUAUAAAUAAAGCUAUGUUCAGUAUUUCUCAAUGUACUAGAUACCAUAAAUUAGAAAUAUACAGUUUUAAAUGCCCAGUACAAAAUGGCCCUUUUAAUAUUUACACAUUUUCUUUCUUUUCUCAGUCACUAAUUUACUAGCACAAAGUUAUAAUCUUAUAGUACUAGGGUUUUCAACUAUCCCUUCAUGGUGCUGGGAACUGAAUUCAGGAUAUUCCACAUGUGAGGCAUGUACACCACUACACAAGAGCCUCUCAACUCCUUUUCUCCAAUGCGAAUAUUAUUAUAGUGCAGAGAGAUUUUUUUCCAAAGUUAAAAACUGCUUCCAAGAUUCUCCAUGUUGUGCCAGUAAUUUCAGACAUAAGUAUAUCUCCAAACUCAGCAAAACAGAAUAUCUAUAUAAAUACUCAAACUGAACAUUUUUAGAGUAAUCUUAAAGCACCUUAGUCCAUAUAAUAUUUGUCCAUAUUCAGCCAAUAUGAGGUCUAGCAUAUUAAAAACUUUCUUAGGGCUUAUACCAAAGAUCAAUUAGGAGGGCAGACAAACUUCUUUUGAUAGUUUUGCUCUAAAGGAAAGGCCCUAUUCUAAUGAAUGCCACUGAAACGAAGGAAUUUCUGAUAAAAAUGUAUUAGGUAAAAGUUAAUAGAAAUAGAUUUGCUGAUUUCCGACACUACAGCAGCACUCCUCCCCCCUGUCCUGGUAAACAUCAUGCCAUGGAGACACAUACACAGUUUAGAGGAAGAGGGAAGUAAGAGAGGUGUGUGGACUGUGGUUCUGCCAACCAACAGCAGCAACCCUUUCUUCCUCAGUCAUUCUUUAAAACAAAAGAAAACAGAGGAGCCAGCUCUUUCCUGUCUCAGGCAGACUCUCAGUGGCUAACAACAGGGAAAACCACACCUUCUCUAACUUUUCCACAGAUCCCUUACUGGGCCUCCCAGGAUUUGUCCCAGUUGGGAGCAAUGAAGGAAAUGAAGAAAAGACAGACAGAUAGACAGACAGACAGAAACAAAAAGCUGGGAAUAAAUAAAUAAAUAAAUAAAUAGAUAGAUGGAGAAGCCUCACAUCUUGAAGCUUAGCAUGUUUAUUAUUCACACACACACACACACACACACACACACACACACACACACAUAUAAAGAGAUGAGAUUACUGGAUAUAGAUGAGCAACGACUGUCACAUACAGACAAACCGGGAGGCAGGUUACAGCACACAACUAGAUCAAGGAAACAGGUUUGUCUAGUCUUGGUGGGGACAGUCCUGUUGGGAAGAAGUCUUCAAUCUGUAAACAUCUGGUAGGGGUGGGAAGCUGUGGUGGACAUUUCCUGCACACACUAGCAACAUCCACACAUGGACCAGAAGGGAAUAUUUUGCCACUUCUCUCUGUGUCUCCUUCCAUUGUCCUAUGGGUCUGAGGUGAGAGACCUUGACACUGUUCAUGUCAACAGCAUGGGUUCACUCAGGACCUCACACAUUCAGGGUCUGUUUUACACCCACAAUUUUCAACUGCUGGUUUUAACUGGAAAUCACUCUAGGAAAACAAUGUUACAGAGAAUCUUCUGAAGAUGUGUACGACCUCAGAUUACUGGAUAAACAGUAGAUUUAGUAGAGAAAGAGUUACUUUCUUAAAGGGUUAAUUAGUAUUGCCUCCAUGUACUGGACAUAAAGCAUUGUUCUGACAAGGAGCCACAAGAAUGCAGCUAUAGUCAGCACAUCACUACCUCAGCUUUGGGACAAAUCACAUUUAGAACAUGUAAACAAAGCUUUCACGUGGCUAGACUCUACUAUGAACUAAAUCCAAAGGCUUGUAGUCUCUAGUAGGGGAAAAAAAAAAAAAAAAAAAAAA